rnacentral:rRNA from 1 species
CCUACGGGGGGCAGCAGUGAGGAAUAUUGGUCAAUGGACGAGAGUCUGAACCAGCCAAGUAGCGUGAAGGAUGACUGCCCUAUGGGUUGUAAACCUCUUUUAUAUGGGAAUAAAAUGUUCCACGUGUGGGAUUUUGUAUGUACCAUAUGAAUAAGGAUCGGCUAACUCCGUGCCAGCAGCCGCGGUAAUACGGAGGAUCCGAGCGUUAUCCGGAUUUAUUGGGUUUAAAGGGAGCGUAGGUGGAUUGUUAAGUCAGUUGUGAAAGUUUGCGGCUCAACCGUAAAAUUGCAGUUGAAACUGGCAGUCUUGAGUACAGUAGAGGUGGGCGGAAUGCGUGGUGUAGCGGUGAAAUGCUUAGAUAUCACGAAGAACUCCGAUUGCGAAGGCAGUUCACUGGACUGCAACUGACACUGAGGCUCGAAAGUGUGGGUAUCAAACAGGAUUAGAUACCCCGGUAGUC